AAAUAAGUAAUUACUGUUACAGACCCACACCUAAACAAAAAACCAAACCAAAACAAAUCAGUAGUGCCGAUAUCCAGACUACGACAAGCAACUGAACUGAACUGAACAUAUUAUCUAAUCAGCUGUUGCUGUUUUCCGUACAAGGUAGGUGCGGUGUCACGGCGUGAAAGCUGCACCGCACUACCCGCAGGACCCACAGGCGAUAAGAAGUGAGGAGAAAAAAUAGCUAACUGACCAAGACACAGCUGAACCACCAAAUUACCAUCAUUGAAGACCACUCCUGGUGUAUUGUUAGAUGGGAAGCCCUGGCUAAGUGUUUGUCUAGCCAGAAAGUGUUUGCAAAUAUCAUGGCAAAUGAGUGUAGUGAGUUCAACACCAAGAAUGAGAAGGGUGGAACCUUUUUGUGUGAGAACUGUGGCCUGCGUGAAACUUACCAUUAUUAUGGACAGCAGCCACCCUUCCAUCGAGGAGUGACCUUCCUCGAGGAUUGUUACUUCAUACGUGAUCCUUUCCAGAGCCAGGCCAAUUGCUCUCUCCUCCUUGGAUCGGAAUGUACCUCCUGCAGCAAAGUUGUGUGUCAAGCAGCUUCCUGCAGCCUCUAUUACAGUGCCAGGUAUUGCGUGACAUGUGCUGAAGCUAACCAAAAAGAGUUUCCAAGAGAAAUGCAACAGCGCAUCAGUAAAAUGCAGGACAAAAAGUGUUGAACAGUACACUAUCAUCCUUACUUGGAGUGAUAAAUCAGUACUAAGUGCAUGAACUGCUUCAUGUGUCAUCUACUUACAGGACAAGUUAUAUAUUUAUAUGUAAAUCAGAAUUAGAUCAUGUUUUUAAAGGAUUUGUAAAGUACAAAAAGAAUGUAGAGGAUAAAGUAACUGAAAUACAGAUGGGAGAGUGUACAA
rnacentral:misc_RNA from 1 species